rnacentral:rRNA from 1 species
GACGAACGCUGACGGCGUGCUUAACACAUGCAAGUCGAACGGAAAGGCCCUGCUUUUGUGGGGUGCUCGAGUGGCGAACGGGUGAGUAACACGUGAGUAACCUGCCCUUGACUUUGGGAUAACUUCAGGAAACUGGGGCUAAUACCGGAUAGGAGCUCCUGCUGCAUGGUGGGGGUUGGAAAGUUUCGGCGGUUGGGGAUGGACUCGCGGCUUAUCAGCUUGUUGGUGGGGUAGUGGCUUAUCAAGGCUUUGACGGGUAGCCGGCCUGAGAGGGUGACCGGCCACAUUGGGACUGAGAUACGGCCCAGACUCCUACGGGAGGCAGCAGUGGGGAAUAUUGCACAAUGGGCGGAAGCCUGAUGCAGCAACGCCGCGUGCGGGAUGACGGCCUUCGGGUUGUAAACCGCUUUCGCCUGUGACGAAGCGUGAGUGACGGUAAUGGGUAAAGAAGCACCGGCUAACUACGUG